AUUGAACGCUGGCGGCAGGCCUAACUCAUGCAAGUCGAGCGGAUGACGGGAGCUUGCUCCUUGAUUCAGCGGCGGACGGGUGAGUAAUGCCUAGGAAUCUGCCUGGUAGUGGGGGACAACGUUUCGAAAGGAACGCUAAUACCGCAUACGUCCUACGGGAGAAAGCAGGGGACCUUCGGGCCUUGCGCUAUCAGAUGAGCCUAGGUCGGAUUAGCUAGUUGGUGGGGUAAUGGCUCACCAAGGCGACGAUCCGUAACUGGUCUGAGAGGAUGAUCAGUCACACUGGAACUGAGACACGGUCCAGACUCCUACGGGAGGCAGCAGUGGGGAAUAUUGGACAAUGGGCGAAAGCCUGAUCCAGCCAUGCCGCGUGUGUGGAGAAGGUCUUCGGAUUGUAAAGCACUUUAAGUUGGGAGGAAGGGCAGUAAGUUAAUACCUUGCUGUUUUGACGUUACCGGCAGAAUAAGCACCGGCUAACUCUGUGCCAGCAGCCGCCGUAA
rnacentral:rRNA from 1 species